GCUACGGUGGCUUUGUGGUUAAAGCGUCCGCUUCGGAUGCUAGAGGUCUCGGUUUCAAAACCCGACCGAGUCAUACCA